GAUGAACGCUAGCGACAGGCUUAACACAUGCAAGUCGAGGGGCAUCGGGGCGUAGCAAUACGCUGCCGGCGACCGGCGGAUGGGUGAGUAACGCGUAUGCAACCUACCUUCAGCAGGGGGAUAGCCCGUUGAAAGACGGAUUAAUACCCCAUAACACAGGGGCUCCGCAUGGAGAUUAUUGUUAAAGGGAUGCUUCCUUCGGGGAGUAUCCGGCUGCAGAUGGGCAUGCGUUCCAUUAGGUAGUUGGUUGAGGUAACGGCUCACCAAGCCUACGAUGGAUAGGGGAACUGAGAGGUUGGUCCCCCACACUGGUACUGAGACACGGACCAGACUCCUACGGGAGGCAGCAGUGAGGAAUCUUGGUCAAUGGACGGAAGUCUGAACCAGCCAUGUCGCGUGAAGGAGGACGGCCCUAAGGGUUGUAAACUUCUUUUGCAGGGGAAUAAAGUAUUCUACGAGAUGGGAUAUUGCAAGUACGCUGCGAAUAAGGAUCGGCUAACU
rnacentral:rRNA from 1 species